GACGAACCGUGCGAACGUUGUUCGGAAUCACUGGGCUUAAAGGGCGCGUAGGCGGGCUGACAAGUCUGGGGUGAAUGCCGCGGCUCAACCGUGGAACUGCCUUAGAUACUGUCGGCCUCGAGGAAGGUAGGGGCAUGCGGAACUGUAGGUGGAGCGGUGAAAGUGCGUUGAUAUCUACAGGAACUCCGGUGGCGAAAGCGGCGUGCUGGACCUUUUCUGACGCUGAGGCGCGAAAGCUAGGGGAGCAAACAGG
rnacentral:rRNA from 1 species